AUUGAACGCUGGCGGCAGGCCUAACACAUGCAAGUCGAGCGGAUGAGUGGAGCUUGCUCUUUGAUUCAGCGGCGGACGGGUGAGUAAUGCCUAGGAAUCUGCCUGGUAGUGGGGGACAACGUUUCGAAAGGAACGCUAAUACCGCAUACGUCCUACGGGAGAAAGUGGGGGAUCUUCGGACCUCACGCUAUCAGAUGAGCCUAGGUCGGAUUAGCUAGUAGGUGAGGUAAUGGCUCCCCUAGGCGACGAUCCGUAACUGGUCUGAGAGGAUGAUCAGUCACACUGGAACUGAGACACGGUCCAGACUCCUACGGGAGGCAGCAGUGGGGAAUAUUGGACAAUGGGCGAAAGCCUGAUCCAGCCAUGCCGCGUGUGUGAAGAAGGUCUUCGGAUUGUAAAGCACUUUAAGUUGGGAGGAAGGGUUGUAGAUUAAUACUCUGCAAUUUUGACGUUACCGACAGAAUAAGCACCGGCUAACUUCGUGCCAGCCGCCGCCGUAAAAC
rnacentral:rRNA from 1 species